rfam:Mesocricetus auratus contig180871, whole genome shotgun sequence.
GGGUUACACAGCUCUUUUAGAAUUUGUCUAGCAGGUUUUCUGACUUUUUUUUUGGAACCCGCCCUC